rnacentral:tRNA from 3 species
GGAGAGAUGGCCGAGCGGCUUAAGGCGCACGCUUGGAAAGCGUGUGUACGUUAAUAGCGUACCCAGGGUUCGAAUCCCUGUCUCUCCGCCA